AGCCACCAGUAAUGAUUGAACUCACGACCGUUGAUUUCCGAGACCAGAGCUCUUAGCAGUGAGCUAUGGUGGC